GUGUUACUGAUCAGGGCCCAGAGGGAGGUGGGAAGAUAUGCAGGGCUUCACAGGGUAGCAAGGCAGCCCCCUCUGAUAACCACGAUGAGGCUCCUCUCCCUUCCCUUUCUGCCCCCAUUGUCGGAGUAUCUGCUGGAGUGAGGUACGGAUGGAGGAGCUGGCUGACUGCAGUGAGGGAAAAGCUCCCUGUGGCCACAAACCCUCCCCAAGCACACACUCCAGGCUGCACACGACUCUGCCUCUUGUUAGCUGGGCAGCCUUGGGCAAGGGGGAGAACUGACUCCAGCCUCAGUUUCUUUCUCUCUACAUGGGGAUCCUCCUCCUUCCUUAGGUUGCCAAGAGGAUGAAAGUCACAAGUGGGCGUGGCAGGGCUUUGUUCCUUCUGAAGCUCAGGACAAAGCACUGGGCUUCCCUCCUGCCUGGGAGCCUUCAGGACGGCAUGGAGUUUGGCCACGUGGUGGGAGCGCCCUGAGUGCGUGGCACAGAAUGUUCAACUGGUUACCUCUCCUGAGCCUCACAGCCUCUCAAGGAAGAUCUGAGGAGGAAACUGAGGCCCACCCCCACCCAGACUGAGGGGCAGGACUCACUGCAAGUGGCCUCGGACUCAUCGGAGCCAUCAGGACACUCCUCCUCGCCGUCACACUUCCACCGUUCGUGGAUGCAGUGGCCGUUGUCACAGGUGAAGUCACUGUCUGCACAGGUCUUCUUGGCUGCAGGGCAAGGAAGAGGAGAAGAAGACAAAAGGCGGUGAGGAGGAGCAACAAGAAGUCGUAAUGUAUGAAGAACCUGCAGCAGACUCAGGCACAUGGCAGAUGCUGGAGAAGUGGCAGCUACUGUUGUUUUCAGGGUUUGAGUCUUAAUUAGAAGCUGAAGGAAUGGGGUUCUGUGUCCACACAGGGGAUGUAGCAGGCUGAGAGCUCACAGCUGGUUACGGAGCUGAGAUAAGAAUGCAGGAUGGGGGAACUGAGGCUGCCUGGCUACCCCCAGAGCCCUAGGCCUCUGAAUUAUUGGGGGCUCAUCUGCAUCAAAUCUGCAUUGAACUCACACAUGCCCUGUUCCUGCUGGACCAAGCAUCCAGGACCCGCUACAGAACAAGGUUCUUCAUCAGGAAAAGAGAGGGUGAUCUGGUGAGAGAUAAGCUUUCAGGUGUGGUAGUUCGAGACCAGGAGGCCCAGAAAUGAAGACGGCAGGGGGGUCUCUUUUCAGCCUAAAAGAGGAUACCUCAGCACAACAGAGACUGUCAAAUUCAGCAAGAAUCCAGCUUGGGGGGAAUCUUUGCAGUACAUCUGCAUUCU
rnacentral:lncRNA from 1 species